GCCUACGGCCAUGCCACCCUGAACGUGCCCAACCUCAUCUGAUCUCGUAAGCUAAGCAGGGUCAGACCUGGUUAGUACUUAGAUGGGAGACCACCUAGGAAGACCAGGUGCUAUAGGCG
rnacentral:rRNA from 1 species